rnacentral:rRNA from 1 species
UGGGGAAUUUUGGACAAUGGGGGCAACCCUGAUCCAGCAAUGCCGCGUGUGUGAAGAAGGCCUUCGGGUUGUAAAGCACUUUUGUCCGGAAAGAAAACGUCGUGGUUAAUACCCGUGGCGGCUGACGGUACCGGAAGAAUAAGCACCGGCUAACUACGUGCCAGCAGCCGCGGUAAUACGUAGGGUGCAAGCGUUAAUCGGAAUUACUGGGCGUAAAGCGUGCGCAGGCGGUCCGCUAAGACAGAUGUGAAAUCCCCGGGCUUAACCUGGGAACUGCAUUUGUGACUGGUGGGCUAGAGUAUGGCAGAGGGGGGUAGAAUUCCACGUGUAGCAGUGAAAUGCGUAGAGAUGUGGAGGAAUACCGAUGGCGAAGGCAGCCCCCUGGGCCAAUACUGACGCUCAUGCACGAAAGCCGUGGGGGAGCAAACAGGAUUAGAUACCCUGGUAGUCCACGCCCUAAACGAUGUCAACUAGUUGUUGGGGAUUCAUUUCCUUAGUAACGUAGCUAACGCGUGAAGUUGACCGCCUGGGGAGUACGGUCGCAAGAUUAAAACUCAAAUGAAUUGACGGGGUCAUAGCUGUUUCCU